rnacentral:rRNA from 1 species
CUACGGGAGGCAGCAGUGGGGAAUAUUGCACAAUGGGCGAAAGCCUGAUGCAGCGACGCCGCGUGAGCGAAGAAGUAUUUCGGUAUGUAAAGCUCUAUCAGCAGGGAAGAAAAUGACGGUACCUGACUAAGAAGCUCCGGCUAAAUACGUGCCAGCAGCCGC